UACGUAGGAGGCAAGCGUUGUCCGGAAUUACUGGGCGUAAAGCGCGUGUAGGUGGUGGGACAAGUCUGCUGUGAAAGCGCCUGGCUUAACCGGGCGAGGUCGGCGGAAACUGCCUCACUUGAGGACGGUAGAGGGGGUGGAAUUCCCGGUGUAGUGGUGAAAUGCGUAGAGAUCGGGAGGAACACCUGUGGCGAAGGCGGCCCCCUGGGCCGGCCCUGACACUGAGACGCGAAAGCGUGGGGAGCAAACGGG
rnacentral:rRNA from 1 species